rnacentral:lncRNA from 1 species
CCUCUACCUGUAUCAUACUCUGUUAAUCCCAAUGGACAGACAAUGACUGAAGCCCAGUGUGGCAUGGAGCAGGCCCACCAGCUCCAUUAUUAACCAUUUUCUUUUCAAAUCACCAGAAGUUUCUUUUCCUUUCCUUCACACUUCCUCUCUAGUGAGUGGCUCCUCUCAGUGAUUUUCACUAUGGUUCUUCCUACAUUUCCAGGCUGCCUAGAGCAUUGCAACAGCUCCUCUGAUGUAGCAUGAGGCCCCUGGCUGCUCAUUGUCAUGACAACUGGAAAAACAAGAGGCCUAGGCCACCACCUCAGGAGUUGUAAUGGAAGGAUGAUGCCACCAGUAAGGACAGCCUCAUGUGAAGCCAGAGGCUUUUGGAGACUCCUGAAGAUUGGAGGCAGCUGCAGAAGUGAAGUGACCCAGAGUGAGCAGUGCAAUGGACAGUGCUCCUGGGGAAAGUGGCUAAAAUUGAAAUAACCACUGUGUGAAAUGAAGUAUCUACAAACCCUCCCCUGGGCAAGCUCCCAACCUGAGGAACUGGCACCAGGAGGUUUGUCCCAAUGUGAUGCAUGAAAUGAAGAUUGUGUAGCUCUCUAAAUCCAGAUUACCAGCUGAUUUCCUCCCCUAAAUUCCAAGGCACCAUCUGUCAAAAUCACGAAGACCUCCACUACCAGGCUCUUUGAGAUGGGAAAGUGUCAUCUCCACUUCUGCAUACAGGAUGCUGAGGAGCAGAACAGCUGAGGCUGUGCUUGCACAAAAAAAAUGAAGGUAUAUUCAAAGUAUAAGGAAAGGCACACACUUGCUGGCCAUAUUUCCUUACCACAGGUAAGGAAACAAGGAGCAUAUGAAAACAGUUUUUUUUGCAAGGACAACAAAUAUUUAUGCCCCC